AGAGCGAACGCUGGCGGCAGGCUUAACACAUGCAAGUCGAGCGCUCGUAGCAAUACGAGAGCGGCAGACGGGAGAGUAACACGUGGGAACGUACCCUUCGGUUCGGAACAACCCAGGGAAACUUGGGCUAAUACCGGAUACGUCCGUAAGGAGAAAGAUUUAUCGCCGAAGGAUCGGCCCGCGUCUGAUUAGCUAGUUGGUGAGGUAACGGCUCACCAAGGCGACGAUCAGUAGCUGGUCUGAGAGGAUGAUCAGCCUCACUGGGACUGAGACACGGCCCAGACUCCUACGGGAGGCAGCAGUGGGGAAUAUUGGACAAUGGGCGCAAGCCUGAUCCAGCCAUGCCGCGUGGGUGAUGAAGGCCCUAGGGUUGUAAAGCCCUUUCGGCGGGAAGAUAAUGACGGUACCGCAGAAGAAGCCCGGCUAACUUCGUGCCAGCAGCCGC
rnacentral:rRNA from 1 species